GAUGAACGCUAGCUACAGGCUUAACACAUGCAAGUCGAGGGGCAGCAUGAGAGUAGCUUGCUACUCUUGAUGGCGACCGGCGCACGGGUGCGUAACAGGUGUGCAAUCUGUCCAUAGUCGGGGAAUAGCCCAGCGAAAGUUGGAUUAAUGCUCCAUGUGAAUCGAGACCGCAUGAUUUUGAUUUGAAACGCAAGGACUAUGGGUGAGCACGCUUCUGAUUAGAUAGUUGGUGGGGUAACGGCUCACCAAGUCGACGAUCAGUAGGGGUUCUGAGAGGAAGGUCCCCCACAUUGGAACUGAGACACGGUCCAAACUCC
rnacentral:rRNA from 1 species